CAUGUACUCUCUCCGUCCGAAAAUACUUGUCAUCAAAAUGGACAAAAAGGGAUGUAUCUAGAACUAAAAUACAUCUAGAUACAUCCCCUUUUAUUCAUUUUGAUGACAAGUAUUUCCGGACGGAGGGAGUAUCAU
rnacentral:pre_miRNA from 1 species